rnacentral:rRNA from 1 species
AUUGAACGCUGGCGGCAUGCCUUACACAUGCAAGUCGAACAGUAACGGGCCUUCGGGUGCCGACGAGUGGCGAACGGGUGAGUAAUACAUCGGAACGUGCCCGAUCGUGGGGGAUAACGAGGCGAAAGCUUUGCUAAUACCGCAUACGAUCUACGGAUGAAAGCAGGGGACCGCAAGGCCUUGCGCGGACGGAGCGGCCGAUGGCAGAUUAGGUAGUUGGUGGGAUAAAAGCUUACCAAGCCGACGAUCUGUAGCUGGUCUGAGAGGAUGAUCAGCCACACUGGGACUGAGACACGGCCCAGACUCCUACGGGAGGCAGCAGUGGGGAAUUUUGGACAAUGGGCGCAAGCCUGAUCCAGCCAUGCCGCGUGCAGGAUGAAGGCCUUCGGGUUGUAAACUGCUUUUGUACGGAACGAAAAGCCUUCUUUUAAUACAGGAGGGUCAUGACGGUACCGUAAGAAUAAGCACCGGCUAACUACGUG